CGCCAGCAGCCGCGGUAAUACAGGGGGUGCAAGCGUUGUUCGGAAUUACUGGGCGUAAAGCGCGGGCAGGUGGCCUUUUAAGUCCUUUGUGAAAUCCCGGAGCUCAACUCCGGAUGUGCAUAGGAUACUGGAAGGCUUGGGACUGGUAGAGGCGAGCGGAAUUCCUGGUGUAGCGGUGGAAUGCGUAGAUAUCAGGAAGAACACCGGUGGCGAAGGCGGCUCGCUGGGCCAGAUCCGACACUCAUCCGCGAAAGCGUGGGGAGCAAACAGGAUUAGAUACCCUGGUAGUCCACGCUGUAAACGAUGGGCACUAGAUGCCGGUCCUAUAGACGGGUUCGGUGUCGUAGCUAACGCAUUAAGUGCCCCGCCUGGGGAGUACGGCCGCAAGGCUGAAACUCAAAGGAAUUGACGGGGGCCCGCACAAGC
rnacentral:rRNA from 1 species